GUGAACGCUGGCGGUAGGCCUAACACCUGCAAGUAGAACGGCAGCACAGUAAGAGCUUGCUCUUACGGGUGGCGAGUGGCGGACGGGUGAGGAAUACAUCGGAAUCUACUUUUUCGUGGGGGAUAACGUAGGGAAACUUACGCUAAUACCGCAUACGACCUACGGGUGAAAGCAGGGGAUCUUCGGACCUUGCGCGAUUGAAUGAGCCGAUGUCGGAUUAGCUAGUUGGCGGGGUAAAGGCCCACCAAGGCGACGAUCCGUAGCUGGUCUGAGAGGAUGAUCAGCCACACUGGAACUGAGACACGGUCCAGACUCCUACGGGAGGCAGCAGUGGGGAAUAUUGGACAAUGGGCGCAAGCCUGAUCCAGCCAUACCGCGUGGGUGAAGAAGGCCUUCGGGUUGUAAAGCCCUUUUGUUGGGAAAGAAAAGCAGCAGGUUAAUACCCCGCUGUUCUGACGGUACCCAAAGAAUAAGCACCGGCUAACUUCGUG
rnacentral:rRNA from 1 species